AACGUAGGACACAAGCGUUAUCCGGAGUUACUGGGCGUCAAGGGCGUGUAGGCGGAUCGGUACGUCUACUCUGAAAGCUCCUGGCUAAACUGGGAGAGGCGAGUGGAGACUGUCGGUCUAGAGUGAGGAAGAGGAAAGUGGAAUUCCGCGUGUAGUGGUGAAAUGCGUAGAGAUGCGGAGGAACACCAGUGGCGAAAGCGGCUUUCUGGUCCUUAACUGACGCUGAGGCGCGAAAGCAUGGGGAGCGAACGGG
rnacentral:rRNA from 1 species